ensembl:lncRNA
CACACGACUCCACACGACUCCCUGAACCCAAGUUGCUCCCGAUAGCAAGCCAGCGCCUUGCAUGGCAGUUCUGCUACCAUUGGUGUGUGUGUGAAUGAGAACCAGUGUAAAACGCUUUGUAGCACCGCAAAGGUAAAGAAAGAGCUAUAUAAGUGCAGACCAUUUACAUUUUGCACCUAGGAACCUCGAACAUUGUGCAAAAAAAACCCACCCUGACUCACUCAUGAUGACAAAGCAAAAAGAAGAAACAACACGGACAAGGAGAUGUCUUGUUUUCUUGAGGUGUAAUUUUCUACACUGUGGUGGACAUUUAAACACAGCUUGGUCUGAAAUACCCGAUACGAGUCGCCGUUAGAAACCUGAAAACAAAUGAACAUUCUUUCCUUAUGCCUCUUCCGGAACAUUCCCUGCUUUUUUGUCCUAAAUUUAAAUCAACUUAUUAUAGUUCACGGUGUCAGUGUUUCCUCUCAUCAUUAAACGCAGGAGCUCCAGAGAAGCUCUCGCUAAGACUUCUGGCAUCUUCCGCAUGGAAAAACGCUUCGUCUGCAUUUCAUCAGACCGCAGGAUGCUUUGCAGAGAUCGGACGUCAAACAGUCGUGAAGCCGCAUACCCGCGGGAGUCCCCACUGCGCUCCUGAGCUCAGGCUUCAAAACAUGCCAAGAAUUUCCACUAAAGCGUUUGAAGGCUGAACUUUGCUUUUACCACACGGGGCAAACCAAACCUCAGGAGCAGUAAACGCUAUGAUUCAGCUGGAAAUGUAAAGCCAGACCUCACCGCACGCACACACACACACACACACACACACACACACACACACACACAUAAUCUAUAUUACAGUGUACAGUAAGUGAAGUGUGUGUGCCAGCAUUCAUAUUAGUUACAAUGAAAUCCCUCUCAGAAUAACAACCACAGAAAAACCUUCAGCUCAACAAUUAGAUAUAGAAUUAAACAAAUCAAAUGGUACAGCUUUCCUUUAUGGCUUACGUUUGCAUUUGUAUCAAUAAAAUACAGUACAUGUGCAAUAAUUUCACUGGACACCACCAGGCAUCACUGGACACCAACAGACAACACUGGGCACCACUGGGCAUCAUUAGAAACCAACAGGCAAUAAUGGACACCAACAGGCAACACUGGGCAUCACUAGACACCAACAAACAACACUGGACACCAACAGGCAACACUGCACAUCACUGGACACCAACAGACAACACUGGACACCAACAGGCAACACCGCACAUCACUGGACACCAACAGGCAACACUGGGCACCACUGGACACCAACAGACAACACUGGACACCAACAGGCACCACUGGGCACCACUGGACACCAACAGACAACACUGGACACCAACAGGCAACACUGCACAUCACUGGACACCAACAGACAACACUGGACACCAACAGGCACCACUGGGCACCACUGGACACCAACAGACACCACUGGACACCAACAGGUAACACUGGACUCCAACAGACAACACUGGACACCAACAGACAACACUGGACACCAGCAGGCAUCACUGGACACCAGCAGGCAUCACUGGACACCAGCAGGCAACACUGGACACCACUGGACACCAACAGACAACACUGGACACCAGCAGGCAACACUGGACACCAACAGGCAACACUGGGCAUCACUGGACACCAACAGGCAUCAUUGGACACCAAGAGGCAACACUGGGCACCACUGGACACAAGCAGGCAUCACUGGACACCAACAGCAACACUGGGCACCAACAGGCAACACUGGGCAUCACUGCACACUAAUGGGCACCACUGGACAUCACCAGGCACCACCGGGAACCACCGCUCUGAUCCAUGGAAUGAUCCAUUUAUCCCCAGAAUCCACAAGAGCUUCACAAAGCAAGCACGGACAGAUGAGCAGAGGGCCGAGCCACGAGACGGCUCAGAACCAUAGCACCAAAAUCCCUGCCAUUGAUGCAAGUAACAGUACAACAGAAUAGAUCAGCUGCUGCACUCGAUCCAGGCAUACACGAAUUACACCCGGGGAAAUCUGCCGCUCACGCUCACCGUCAUGACCAGUAACCAGCGGACAAAAAAAAGGAAAGACAAAAGAAAAAGCCCCAACGAGAAGCAGAAGCAAAAACAUGUACAGUGUACUCUCAAGAAGCACGACAUUAACUUUUACUGCUGUCACGCCCACAGGGGACUGUAAUUAAACACUCACAGCACAAUUAAAUUUAAUACGAUAGAAAAUUGACGCAUUCCUGUAUCGUGCGGGUAGAGGCAGGACGCGAGUGCGUGUUUGGGCGAGUCCACAAAUCAACAUUGUAGUCCAUCGUGUAGGUCAAAGAACAGGAAGGGAACGAUGGAUUUGGAUGAUCUAAUGAAAGGCUUAACACAGAACAGGUGAACACAUUAGGGUAAUCAACCACUUUUUGGAAAUAUUAUGACAAUUUCGAACGUUCCUAACUACUGAAUUGAACUUUCCUAAGUUUUCCCUGCAGGUGCUGGCCCACCUGACACCUCGUCACCUUUCCUCACCGCACCUCUCCUUCCUUUCAUCACUCUCUUUUUACGAGCUGGAGGAAAUCUCUCUCCACAGCAUGGGACAACGACUGAAUCACCUGCCUUAAAAGUCACUGCUCCACACUUUCUCCAGUUUUACGAGCUGGAAAAGAUCCAGAAGCUCCACCACGCUUUCCACAGAAGGUCCCAGAAUCAGUUUAAUAGCAGAGAGACGGGGUUUCCAAAUGGAAUGAACUACCGCAGACCUCCUACUGGAAGAUAUAUGGCACACGUCUGCUACAGCCAUGAGAUCUCUGUUUGACACGAUAAAAUGAUUUCGAGCAUAAACCCGAAUCAUAACGAGAUUAACGGCGGGACUUUAAAUCACGAUUAAAACUAAAUCCAAGAUCUACAAUGUAAAGGAAACGAUCAUAUAAAUGAACUGGGAGCUAUCAUCUGGAUUAUCAGUUAACGUAUAAAUUAGCAUGUCAAUUAUUUCUACUUCGGUAAACAUCUAUAUCUAACACCUAUCCCCUUUAGGUUCUUAUAAUAACCAAAGUGAUACAUAAUUAAUAUUUAUUCAAAUAUUUAAUUAGUACACUACAGAUUCUGAUUCAAUUCAAUUCAGUUUUAUUUGUGUAGUGCUUUUUACAAAGGACGUUGUCUUAAAGCAGCUUUACAGAAAUAUAUAAACACAGGAUAGAGAUUGUAAGUGUGGAUGGAUGGAUGGAUGGAUGGAGUUUAUCCCUAUUGAGCGAGACGGUGGUGACGGUGGUGAGGAAAAACUCCCUGAGAUGAUAUGAGGAAGAAACCUUGAGAGGAACCGGACUCAGGAGGAAACCCGUCUUCGUCUGGGUAACGACGGAUAGUGUGAGAGUGAAAGAAAGUUCAUUAUGGUUUAUGAUUAAUCUGUAGCCACGCCCUGAUAGACUGAUUAAGCUGUAGUCUCGCCCUGACUGACUGUUUAAGAUGUCGUCACGCCCUGAUAACUGAUUAAGCUGUAGCCACGCCCUGAUAGACUGAUUAAUCUGUAGCCAUGCCCUGAUAGACUGAUUAAUCUGUAGCCACGCCCUGAUAGACUGAUUAAUCUGUAGCCACGCCCUGAUAGACUGAUUAAUCUGUAGCCACGCCCUGAUAGACUGAUUAAUCUGUAGCCACGCCCUGAUAGACUGAUUAAUCUGUAGCCACACCCUGAUAGACUGAUUAAUCUGUAGCCACGCCCCAAUAGACUGAUUAAGCUGUAGCCACACCCUGACAGACUGAUUCAUCUUUAGCCACGCCCUGAUGGACUGAUUAGGCUGUAGCCACGCCCUGAUGGACUGAUUAAGCUGUAGCACCGCCCUGAUGGACUGAUUAAGCUGUAGCGAUGCCCUGAUAGACUGAUUAAUCUGUAGCCACGCCCUGAUAGACUGAUUAAGCUGUAGCCACGCCUGACGGCCUGAUUCAUCUUUAGCCACGCCCUGAUGGACUGAUUAAUCUGUGGUCACAGUCUGAUGGACUGAUUAAGCUGUAGCCCCGCCCUGAUGGACUGAUUAAGCUGUAGCCCCGCCCUGAAGGACUGAUUAAGAUGUAGCCAUGCCCUGAUGGACUGAUUGGGCCACGCCCUGAUGAGCUACCUGAUAGGUGUCCCCAUCCUCAUGGGACAGCUGCCUGGCCGGUGACCCUGCCCUUCACCAACACACACAAAAUCAUUUCAAUCGUUUCAACCCCAAACCCCUCCUGGGAUAAGCAAUGAUGAUUAAAACAAAACUAAACUUCUGAAAGCCACUUCUGAAUCAGUCAUGACACACUCAGACACACACUCAGACAUACACACACACACACACACACACACACAGACACGCGAGCACGCUCCGGUCACGCCGUGUGUGUAAGCAGCAUGUUUUAAUAAUUACUCAGUGAAGUGAGACAUAGCCGAGACCCUGAGGUUCAUCAUCGUCUCCGUUCUUUCCCGGAUCUUUAAUUUCCUUUAAACACUUCUCCAGACUGCACAUAUGGCCUUUCAUUCACACGACGGAAUCAGGAUUGCUGAUCUGUGGGCAGAUUGUUAUCCAAAAAAAAAAAAAAAAAAGCUUUAACGGAUCCAGGAACAGCCGGCACGCUCCUAAACGCUUCGUUUGAUGAGCUGUCAUUAACGUGACCUUUUGGAUAAGUGCCUCGUCCAAGUUCAGUCGAGCUCGAGAGAAACGUGGCGCUUUUUUUUACAACGGUUUAGUUCCAAACCAGCAUCGAGAACUGAGAGAGAGAGAGAGAGAGAGAGAGAGAGAGAGAGAGAGACAGAGAGAGACAGAGAGAGAGACAGAGACAGAGACAGAGAGAGAGCAAGACAGAGAAAGAGAGAGAGACAGAGAGAGACAGAGAGAGAGAGACAGAGAGAGAGAGAGAGAGAGAAAGAGAGAGACAGAGAGAGAGCGAGAGAGAGAAAGAGAGAGAGAGACAGAGAAAGAGAGAGACAGAGAGAGCGAGAGAGAGAGCCAGAGAGAGAGAGAGAGAGAGAGAGA